AUUGACUGUCGUCGUCAACUGAUCGGUUCGAGAGAGUGAUUUGACGACUCAACCCGCACGUCUAUGUAUAAUAUACGAGAUUACAAUAGCUGAAGCAGAAAUAAACAAUAUUCAAGUAUCAAAACAUUGCGA